rnacentral:lncRNA from 1 species
AAACCAAAGGGCGCCCUCUCAACCUCACGCUGCUGCCGCUUGCCUACCAGCCGGAAUUGGGCGAUUCCACUCACCCGAGUCCCAUGGUCCCCCUCCCCUCAUCUCUCACAUCCACAUCAUCAAAAUCUCAACAAACUCUGACAUCACGGAAUAUUCUCGUUCCGUCUCGCAAUUUUCUUUCAUCUUUUGGACGAAUUUUGGAAAGAACGGGAGCAGUAGGAUUUGAAUUACUAAAAUUCUAUCCUUCUAUUUUAUCCGAAAUUUGUUGAAAAAGAGCAAAAGAUCAGGAAAUUUUUGGAUUUUUUUGGCUUGGAGAGCUAGCAUGGAAGUUUAGGGAGCUUCUAUAUCUUUGGAGCUCGUUUUCAAACCAAAGGAAAUUUUGGGACAGAAAUUUCGAAUUGAGAAGAAAUUAGGGUUCUUUCUUUGAUCCGGAGUUUUUUUGACUUUCCAAUUUUCUUUCUUUCAAAAUUCAAAAAAAGGAGUUUGUGUUUCUUUCAAGUUUUGUUUCUAACUCAGAAAAUCAGAAACAUAUAAAAGAUCUUAAUUCUUUUUUUCCUGGAUUUGGCUUCAAAUGUGGAAUUCGAUUAAAGUUUGACUUCGAGGUUUGCAUCUGGUUUGAGAUUCGAGGUGCUGUCCGAGGUUUAACGUCAGUGAUUCUUGGUCCAAUUUAGCCACUGUACUUGCUCGAUUCCAUUUCAUUGUUAUAUUUCUUUGUCUGAACAUUCAAGGUCGAAUUUAUUGAAAAUUUUCAGUUCAGGUUCGUUUCUAAUUCUUUUACUUUUAUUUUGGCGUCAAUUCAAAGUAUUAUAAGAGCCUAGUUAGAUUGCAAUAUGUUUAAGAGUCCAUUUAGCCGUUAAUGGUUUGGAGUUGAUAUUAUGUCCUACUUUGAUAUAUAUUAUGUUUCUGUUUUGAAAUUAAGUUCGCUUUAUUUGGAAUAAAUAUUCUACUCUACUUUGAUAUACAUCAUGUUUCUGUUUUGAAGUUAAACUCGCUGUUAACUUUGUUCGAUCUUUUAAAGUUCCUAAAAUCUGUCUGUUCAUAUGGCCUAUGGAUAAACAAUACACUUCCUUAGCAGUUUGAAACAAUGUUUUAUAUGUUUGGUUAAAAUUAUGUGUGAAACAAAAUGUAUAUUCAAGUCGCUUUGCUUAAAACUAUUUGCUGAAGAUGUCCUCAGUUUCUCGCUGCCUUUGUUGGCUCUGUUUAACGUCGCCUCUAUUUCUAUUUUAUUAGUUGGUCAGUGAUGGUAUUUAACCAUCUUUAUUAUUCAAAGAUGGGUCGCGGUUUUCCCUAAAAGGAGCCUCAACCUGGCUAUAAAUUCCCUGUUGCAUCUGCAGGUGCUAAUAAUUCAAUACUUGAACUUGUGAGUUGUUUCCCCACGCAUUCAGUUUGGUCGCGCACUUUGUAAGAUCGAGUAGGGUGUGUUUUUUAGCAGAUUGUGGUGUUAAGUAGUUGUUAUUCGAUUGUUGAUCACGCUCAGUUUCUUGUGUUGCAAACUAUCAACAAUUUUCAUGUGUUUCUUUGAGAUGUGAUGGAUAAGAAAUGCCUAGGAUUGAACUACUUUGUUUCAAUGAACUUUGAAUAGACUUUGUCAUUCUGAUUGUUUGUUUGAAUGUUUAGUACUCCUGUAGAAUCAUCUAUAUACUUUAAUGAAUUGAGCUGAAGCAUGUAAAGUGUGAGAGGAGAAGUUAGUGAUCUAUCAAGAACUCCAGCUUCUAGCUUGUCAAUAAUUAAGGAGUCCCAUUUUCCUUGAGUGACUAUUGAACCUUGAAUAGAUGAAUUACUUUCUGAAUUUUGUGAAUGGGUCUUCUCUAACCGAGAGCAAGGUGGGAAAUUCUUGGAGGGAAGUAUGUCGGGGGUCUAUUUGGAAACAGCCUCUCUAUCCAAGGAUAGGGUUAAGGUCUGCAUACAUACUACCCUACCCAGACCCCACUAAGUAGGAUUAUACUGGGUUGUUGUUGUUGUUGUUGGUCUUUUCUAGAUGUGCCUGUUGAUGUGUGUCUGAAAUUCUAACGCCCUCGAAAAUGCGUUGGAGAAGAAUUUAGUAUAUGAGAAGGAGAAUUGUAGCAUGUUUGCAUAGUGAGCAUGAUUAGGAUCUAUUUUGAGCAGUUUGGUUCUUUCGGGAAUUUUUUAUGAUGGGAAAUGAUGUGAGUUUUAUCAUAUUGCUAAUUCAUCUACUUUGUUUUGGUUUUCUCUUAACCAUCACGUCUGUACAUGUGUUUAUAGGAACCAUGCUUUUGGAUAAUUUUGUGCUAGACAUGCACAUGAGCAACAAAAUUUUUAAUAUAUUGUGGGGAAGGGGAAGGUAAAAGCCAAAGCCCAUUUAGCAAUUAAUUUGUUCUAUGCUUUAGGUAUCAGGUUCGGCCUAGUAAAAAUGAAAAGUUAAAACAAAUC